rnacentral:rRNA from 1 species
UACUAUGUUACGACUUAUCUCAACUAAUAAUAAUGAGAGUGACGGGAGAUGUGUACAUAUUAUAGAGCUAAAAUCAAAAUUACAAUCUACAAAAAAUUACAAUUAAAUCCAAUUUCAUAUUUCAACAUUACAUAAAAUAAUUCAAUAAUUAAUAUAAAUGUAAUCCAUCUCCACCAAAUUAUAAACUGCACCUUGACCUGAAAUAAAUUCAAAAAAUAAAAACUAGAAAAUUAUUAAACUCUAAAAAGAUUUUCAAAAUAACGGCGGUAUACAUACAUAAAUCUGGUAAGGUACAACGCGGACUAUCGAUUAAGGGACAGAUUCCUCUAAAUAGACUAAAAUACCGCCAAAUUCUUUGAGUUUCAAGACCUUAACUAAUACUACCUAAGUUUAAUUAAUAAUUUACUACCAAAAUAUAGGGUAUCUAAUCCUAGUUU